GACGAACGCUGGCGGCGUUCCUAAUACAUGCAAGUUGAGCGCUGAAGGUUGGUACUUGUACCAACUGGAUGAGCAGCGAACGGGUGAGUACCGCGUGGGGAAUCUGCCUUUGAGCGGGGGACAACAUUUGGAAACGAAUGCUAAUACCGCAUAAAAACUUUAAACACAAGUUUUAAGUUUGAAAGAUGCAAUUGCAUCACUCAAAGAUGAUCCCGCGUUGUAUUAGCUAGUUGGUGAGGUAAAGGCUCACCAAGGCGAUGAUACAUAGCCGACCUGAGAGGGUGAUCGGCCACAUUGGGACUGAGACACGGCCCAAACUCCUACGGGAGGCAGCAGUAGGGAAUCUUCGGCAAUGGACGAAAGUCUGACCGAGCAACGCCGCGUGAGUGAAGAAGGUUUUCGGAUCGUAAAACUCUGUUGGUAGAGAAGAACGUUGGUGAGAGUGGAAAGCUCAUCAAGUGACGGUAACUACCCAGAAAGGGACGGCUAACUACGUG
rnacentral:rRNA from 1 species